GAGGACGACGUGCCGGCGGGGGGGGGGAUGCGGUGGGGGCGAGGGUGGUGCGGAGGCGCUGAGGUGAGAGGGCGGGUGGGAGGCGUUGUAAGUCGGGGGUGAAAGCCGGGGGGGCGACCACAGAGUGGGCGUCGAUACAGCGAGGCAUGAGACCGGAAGAGGGUAGGGGAACUGCGAGUGUAGAGGUGAAAUUCGUAGAGAGUCGCAAGAACGCCAGAGACGAAGGCGGCGGACUGGUCCGGAUCUGACGCUGAGGCGCGAAAGCGUGGGGGGCAAACAGGAUUAGAUACCCGAGUAGUC
rnacentral:rRNA from 1 species